rnacentral:rRNA from 1 species
GCCGCGAAUUCGCCCUUAGGGUUUGAUUAUGGCUCAGAUUGAACGCUGGCGACAGGCCUAACACAUGCAAGUCGAGCGGUAACAGGAGAAAGCUUGCUUUCUUGCUGACGAGCGGCGGACGGGUGAGUAAUGUAUGGGGAUCUGCCCGAUAGAGGGGGGAUAACUACUGGAAACGGUGGCUAACACCGCAUAAUGUCUACGGACCAAAGCAGGGGCUCUUCGGACCUUGCACUAUCGGAUGAACCCAUAUGGGAUUAGCUAGUAGGUGGGGUAAAGGCUCACCUAGGCGACGAUCUCUAGCUGGUCUGAGAGGAUGAUCAGCCACACUGGGACUGAGACACGGCCCAGACUCCUACGGGAGGCAGCAGUGGGGAAUAUUGCACAAUGGGCGCAAGCCUGAUGCAGCCAUGCCGCGUGUAUGAAGAAGGCCUUAGGGUUGUAAAGUACUUUCAGCGGGGAGGAAGGUGAUAAGGUUAAUACCCUUAUCAAUUGACGUUACCCGCAGAAGAAGCACCGGCUAACUCCGUGCCAGCAGCCGCGGUAAUACGGAGGGUGCAAGUGUUAAUCGGAAUUACUGGGCGUAAAGCGCACGCAGGCGGUCAAUUAAGUCAGAUGUGAAAGCCCCGAGCUUAACUUGGGAAUUGCAUCUGAAACUGGCUGGCUAGAGUCUUGUA